rnacentral:rRNA from 1 species
AGAGUUUGAUCCUGGCUCAGAACGAACGUUGGCGGCGUGGAUUAGGCAUGCAAGUCGAACGAAUCCCGGGUAGCAACAUCCGGGGGAAGUGGCGAAAGGGGCAGUAAGGCGUGGGUAACCUACCCUGGGGACUGGGAUAGCCUUCCUAACGGAUGGGUAAUACCAGGCGAUCUGACGAGGGCGCCUGCUCUUGUCAGGAAACGAAUUUCGCCUCGGGAGGGGCUCACGUGCUAUUAGCUUGUUGGCGGGGUAACGGCCCACCAAGGCAAAGAUGGCUAGCGGGUAUGAGAGUACGACCCGCGCCACUGGCACUGAGACACUGGCCAGACACCUACGGGUGGCUGCAGUCGAGGAUCUUCGGCAAUGGGCGCAAGCCUGACCGAGCGACGCCGCGUGUGCGAUGAAGGCCUUCGGGUUGUAAAGCACUGUCGAGGGGGAGGAAAGCCGCAAGGUCUGACCUAUCCCUGGAGGAAGGACGGGCUAAGUUCGUGCCAGCAGCCGCGGUA